CUAAGGAGUGAAUACCAAAACAAAUCCGCAAAUCUGAUUCUGAUCGAAGUGGUAUGCAACAUCUGCACAAAAUUGACUGCGCAGCGGAACUUACCAUACGCUAAGAAUCGGAUUCUCAAGUCUCAACUCAGAGCUCACCAAGCGAGAAUCCAAAUUCCCCAGGGAAAAAAAAGGAAGAAAAAGAAUCCCCAUUUUUUUUCAUUUUAUCUACAUCUUAUAUUAUAAAUUAUUCAGAGAAAAUAUCACAAGGAAAAAUAAAGAUACCAUCCUUUUUUCUUUAAACUCUGUUGACUCGUUUAGAAAACUUUUUCCCUGCCCCCCAAACCCAAAACCCUAAUCUCAUUCUUCUCUAUGGAUCCCUCUCGCCGAGCACCGCGCUCAGCGAUCGACCCCGUCCCCAAGUUCCGCCAAGUCGGGUUCUUCACUCCUGGAGCCCCGCCCGAACGCUCUCAAUCGGGUCCACCCGACCCGACACACUCUACUCCCGUUUCCGACGUCUCACAAUCCGCCAACUCGCUCUCUCCGGUCAUGAUCCCUCCGCCGCGCCACCUCUCCGACAAUCUCGUCAUCAACGCCCGCCCCACGCUUGCGUCCCCUCUCCGCGCAGAUUCCCUCGCCGGUGGCGGAGUUAGCAGCUUCGGCGAUUUCUUCCCCGCUCCGAUGUCGCCGGCGACUCCAGCUUCUUCUUCGUACUCCAGCAGGAUGGCCGCCGGCGAAGGGAGCUUCUUUGAGCGCCAUGGUGGCGGAGGCGAUAAGGGGAACAAUGCCGGCAAAGUGGCGUCGUCAUUUCCCCGCGGAGGAUUCGACCUGACGGCGAUGAAGAAGGUUAGUGGCAUUGGCGGUGGCGGUGGUAGUGGCGUUGGUGUUCCGGCAAGUGAGCUGACCACCGUGUCCGUGGUGAAUGAUUCGCUAGCGAUUCAUGAAAAAGAGAAAGCAAACAGAGGAGGAGGGUCAGCUGUGGAAGCAAAAGACCAAUCUACUGGUUCAAAACAACAAAAACCAAAGACCACAAAAGCUGAAAGGCGAGCUCUUCAAGAAUCUCAACGUGCCGCAAAGGCUGCUGCAAAAGCUGAAGGCAACAAGGCAUCUGGAGCUGCAACUUCAGUGAAUGCAAAACCAGCCAAAGCUGCCAAGCCCACACCAAAAGUUGAUAAUGCUGCAGUUGCAGCAUCUGAGAAGAAGGGUGGUGAUUGUCCUCCAGAAAAGGAUAGAAAGAAGGAUGUUCCUCAACCACGAAUGCAAUAUGAUGACAAGAGUCGAGUGGAGAAAGCUAAGCGACGAGCUGUGGUGAAACAAACUGAAGCUAGGAACAGAGUUGAGUUGUUCAGGCAUUUACCACAAUAUGAACACGGAAGUCAGCUUCCAGAUCUUGAGUCAAAGUUUUUUCAUCUGGAUCCUGUACAUCCAGCUGUUUAUAAGGUGGGUUUGCAGUAUUUGUCUGGCGAUAUAUGUGGUGCUAAUGCUCGUUGUAUUGCAAUGUUUCAAGCAUUUCAAGAAGCCAUAAAAGACUAUAGAGUUCCACCUGAGAAGACUCUUGUGAGAGACUUAACAGCAAAAAUAGGUAGUUAUGUUUCAUUUCUAAAUGAGUGUAGGCCUAUUUCAAUCAGCAUGGGAAAUGCAAUUAGAUUUCUCAAAAGUCGGAUAGCCAAGCUACCUUUGACCCUGUCUGAGUCAGAAGCCAAAGUUUCUCUCCAGUCAGAUAUUGAGCGUUUUAUAAGUGAGAAGAUUGUACUUGCCAACAAGGUGAUAGUCAAGCAUGCUGUCACCAAAAUAAGAGAUGGUGAUGUUCUUCUAACUUAUGGAUCAUCAUCGGCAGUUGAAAUGAUACUGUUACAUGCACAUGAAUUGGGAAAACAGUUUCGUGUUGUUGUAGUUGAUUCUCGUCCAAAGCUUAGAGGACAGCUUUUACUUCGGAGGCUUCUGGAGAAGGGUCUUAGCUGUGAAUACACUCAUAUAAAUGCUGUUUCAUACAUAAUGCAUGAAGUUACCCGAGUUUUUCUGGGUGCUUCGUCAGUGUUGUCUAAUGGAACGGUAUAUUCAAGGGUUGGGACUGCAUGUGUUGCAAUGGUUGCUCAUGCGUUCCGAGUACCUGUCAUAGUAUGUUGUGAGGCCUAUAAAUUUCAUGACAGGGUACAGCUGGAUUCGAUAUGCUCAAAUGAACUUGGUGAUCCAGAUAUAAUUUCAAAUGUUCGGGGUAGAGAGGAUGUCAACUACUUGGAUGGUUGGGCCAAUGUUGAAAAUCUACAACUUUUAAAUCUGAUUUAUGAUGCAACACCUUCAGAUUAUGUUUCAAUGAUAGUCACAGAUUAUGGCAUGGUGCCCCCCACAAGUGUUCCUGUAAUUGUAAGAGAAUAUGGGAGAGAGCAGGUCUGGAUUUAAAUUAUGCAAUUGUGGAUCGGCUCAAUUUGGUUGGCUUCCAAAAUCUAUUUGAAAUCAUGGAAAAUAUGCGGAAGCGCAUGAAUACGUGGUUGGUACUACCAUUAAGCGGAGUUUUUCCAGCAAUGCAAACUACAGCUUACUUGCUGACCUUCAUUUGAAGACAGGAAAUGUUCUACUUGCGCAGAAGAUUCUCUUCGAGAUGAUGGAUAAGGGUCUUAAACCAAAUUUUCCAGUGUACAUGAAGAUAAGGAAGCGUCUUCAAAAGAAAAAUGAAAUGGAUUUGUCUAUGGAAUUAUCAAGAAGAUACUUGAACUUGAUUGAAAAAUGAAGAACUAUUGUGACAUUCAUGUCAUGUGAUGCUUUAGUGUCAUUCAGCAUUGGCUCAGUAUUGACUUUGCAUUCAGAGAGGAUGGCUGAAGAUUGUUGCUUCAUCAAUAUUUUCCUUGCAUUCUGGUACGCGUGAUUUCAAUUCAGGUACCUGUCAAACAAGGAAUGGCUGGAUCUACUAUUGCAUCCACCAGGUACUCAUCAAGGAUCCCCAGAUUAUGUUUUCGGAUAUUUAAUUGACACUAAACCUGACUUAAUGACCUUUUCCUCACCACCGAUGAUGACUAUCUGGGUCUGCUGUUAUCUGUGAAUCACCGGGUUUCUUGAGUAUAUCUUAUGGAGCAUGAAUUUUUUACAUAUCCAGUUAUCCUUAAAUUUUUUUAUCAAUUUUUUUCCCUCUUGCUUGAAAGUAACUAUAAGAUUGAAAUUGGGGGCAAAAAUAAUUUUAUGUAUACCUGUGUUGCUCGGAUUGUAUCAGUAAGAAUAAAUUGCUCUUGUUAA